UACGUAGGGGGCAAGCGUUGUCCGGAAUCAUUGGGCGUAAAGAGCGUGUAGGCGGCUCGAUAAGUCUGCUGUGAAAACUCGAGGCUUAACCUCGAGAUGUCAUCGGAAACCAUCUGGCUAGAGUCCGGAAGAGGAGAGUGGAAUUCCUGGUGUAGCGGUGAAAUGCGCAGAUAUCAGGAGGAACACCAAUGGCGAAGGCAGCUCGCUGGGACGUGACUGACGCUGAGACGCGAAAGCGUGGGGAGCAAACAGGAU
rnacentral:rRNA from 1 species